UGUUGCACGAAGGCCGUUCAGUUGUGAUGAAGAACAAACAGCCUUCAGUGAAUGAAGAAGAACCUGCAACAGAGCCGACAGCUCCCUGCAGCCCGAAGAGCAGGGACGCGCUGCGGAACUCUUUUUAUUGAGAGGCUAGAAUUACAUUAUUCUGCGUUUGAAGGCUUCAGUCCUUGACUCCUCCACUCCCUCAGGGGAAAACCUGGCGCCUCCUGUCCGCAUCCGAAGACUCGAAACUGGACGAAAAAGAGAGGAGGAGGAGGAGGAGGAGGAAAUAAAAACAGUAGAAAAAAGAGAGUAAAGCGCUGAAAGCAGGAUGGAUGGAGAGAGACUGCAUUCUAGAAACACAGCAUCUGCAUUCCUGCGGCGUGAUGGAUGACACUUCAGCAUCUCAAGCUGCUAGUAGUUGAUUGCAGUCGGUGCUUUUCUUCUUCUCUCUACCAGAAGAGUCAGCCAAUCCAUGAACACCCAUCCCACUUCCUUUAUUAUUGCUGUAGAAAAGCUGAGAAGGCGGUAGAGUGCAGAAGGAGCUGAUGGGACUUGAAGAGAGCUACUCACAGUGUCGCGGUCCAGGGAUAUUGGGGUCCCGAACCCAUCAAGGGAGAGGUGUGAAUCCACGAUGGUGCUGUCCAGCCAUGUUUCAGUGAAGCAGAUCAGGCUAGCAUCUUUCUAAGCCCACUGACACGAGAUGUUGGCGUGUAGUUCAUCCAGUUUGUUUCGAAGAGAGCGAACAUUGAUAACUGACGGCAGAUCAAGAUGCUGAACCCUUUGUGAUGAAAGGUCUUGACUGCAGAGAUGAAGGGCGCCAUAGGUGGAAUCACACAGGCAAAGCAGACAUGAGGGCUGUUUCAAGAUUUUAGCUGUCUGUCUGCUUCAUCUGAAGGGACUUUUUUGCAGAAGACUUGAAAGAAUGUAUAUUUUCUAAUGUAUCAUCAAAAACUCAAUCAGCCGUAGAAAGCAUGGCACAUACCUGUCUGUGUGCAGAGCAGUUGUGGAGGCUUGUUGGGGUUACUGAUGUAUCAGUGUUCAGCUGAAAUACGAUCUUUCACAUCUGUGUGCCUCUGCUGGGGCCAAUCUGCUGGCUACUGUAACUAGGGUAUUGUUAUGUUCCACAUGAGUGCAACUUCUUUUGGUUUUUGACUGUCCGCCAAUAAAAAUGUCACAGCUGAAUUGUCUGGAUUAGGUAUGAGUGAAGUGGCAACCAUUCUGAACAGCUUGUGUGAAAUGUUUCUGUCUGCGAUGGAACGACUGCAGCAGGAGGAAAACGCAUUAGUACCAAUGAGUCACAGUCCUCUGGAAACCAGAUAUGGAGCUUUUAUUAAGAAGGACACAAGUUAAUUUAUGAUAGAGCUUAAAACGAGCCUGUUGCUGCUUCUUAUGUUAAUGACAAAGCAGGUGUGUAGGUUUUCACUAAAUAACAUCUGGUUCUGUUUCAAAACUUCCUCUGAAUUGAAAUAUUUUCCUUUCCAAAUGUUAUUAACAAUUCUUCAGGUCAAUAUUUCUUUUUCAACUAACCUAGAGGAUCUUUAAAAAGCAAACAGAAACUUGCCAGCACAGGCCUGUGCAGCUCACAAGUUCCUAAGGAGCCUGUGAAGGAACAGAAACAACAGAGCAACAGAGACAGAGAGUGAGUGUGACACAGUUGAACUUUGCACUGCAUGUCUGAGCAUGCAACAGGCCUCUACUAAUGUAGAAACAUUCCCAUCUGCCAUUGUCUUGCAGAAAAGGAAGCCCUUGCCGAAGAACACGGCUCUGACGAAAAGGCAUGUUUCUCCCACUAAUGAGUGACACCCUGACUAAUGGAAGGAGCACUUUAGCUGAGGCAGAAAAGAAGCAUCUGGACAGCAUCUACUGCCUUCAACUUCUGAACUACAGAGCCUCUUGAAACAUUUUGUCGCCUUGGUGUCCAGGUGGUGCCAUUUUAAUUCCAGCACAGAUGCUCUGCUCUUCCACCUGUCAUCUGCACUCUCAGCUUUCUGUGACAGACCUGCUGACAGCGACUGAACGUGAGGAAAGUCAGUGUAAGCUCUGUGAAGUAUUCGCAGAGCCGACAUACUGUGGUUAAUUUUAUCAUGUUAUGGGGGUGGGCUCCUACUGACUGUGGCCCCGGGAUGGUUUGGCUCUGCCCCCUGUUGGUCCUGUGGAGUUUGGUUGAUAGGGAGUCAGUUGUGUCCAUGGUGGGGAGGGGGCUGCUUGGUGGGAUGGGAAAGUCUAUCAGCUGGUCAAUCUGGAAUAUUUGGCUGUCUGGUUGAAGUACCCAUUGAGAAUCAUUAGACACACAUUGCUAAUGUUCAUAUCACCUUCAUGUACUAGACCAUGGGUGUCCAAAGUCUGACCCCGAGGGCCAGUGUCCUGCAUGUUUUCCAACCAACCUGCCAUUGAAGCUCCUCAUUGGCCAAACACACCUGAUCCAGGUAAUCAGCAGUAGAUAAGGCAGGAUUCCUUAAAAACCAGAAGUCAGCCCUCGAGGACAGACUUUAGACACCCCUGUACUAGAUUUUGUGUACUGGACCAUUCUAUAUUUUUCAUCAUUGCCUUGGCAACUAGAACUGUAAUUUUUAAAGUAAAACAACAUUGUGUGUCCAAAUAUGAAAAAAACCCAGGUAAGCAAUAAAAUAUA